rnacentral:rRNA from 1 species
UACGUAGGGCGCAAGCGUUGUCCGGAAUUAUUGGGCGUAAAGAGCUCGUAGGCGGCUUGUCGCGUCGGAUGUGAAAGCCCGGGGCUUAACUCCGGGUCUGCAUUCGAUACGGGCAGGCUAGAGUUCGGUAGGGGAGAUCGGAAUUCCUGGUGUAGCGGUGAAAUGCGCAGAUAUCGGGAGGAACACCGGUGGCGAAGGCGGAUCUCUGGGCCGAUACUGACGCUGAGGAGCGAAAGCGUGGGGAGCGAACAGG